rnacentral:rRNA from 1 species
UACGUAGGGUCCAAGCGUUAUCCGGAAUCACUGGGCGUAAAGCGUGCGUAGGUGGCGCGUUAAGUGAGAUGUUAAAUCGUGGGGCUCAACCCUGUGCGGUGCAUCUCAUACUGGCGUGCUAGAGGACAGCAGAGGCAAGUGGAAUUUGUAGUGUAGCAGUGAAAUGCGUAGAUAUUACAAGGAACACCAAUGGCGAAGGCAGCUUGCUGGGCUACUCCUGA